rnacentral:rRNA from 1 species
AGGACGAACGCUUGCGACGUGCCUAAGAAAUGCAAGUCGAACGGACAGUAGCAAUACUGUUAGUGGCGAACGGUCGCGUAACACGUGGGCAACCUGCCCUGAAGCGGGGGACAACAACUCGAAAGAGUUGCUAAUACCGCAUGUGAAUCGCUGUGGCAUCACAGAGGAUUCAAAGCCGCAAGGCACUUCAGGAUGGGCCCGCGGCCUAUCAGCUAGUUGGUGAGGUAACGGCCCACCAAGGCUUCGACGGGUAGCUGGUCUGAGAGGACGAUCAGCCGGAUUGGGACUGAGAUACGGCCCAGACUCCUACGGGGGGCAGCAAUUAGGAAUCUUGCACAAUGGGCGAAAGCCUGAUGCAGCGACGUCGCGUGAAGGAUGAAAUCUUUCGGGAUGUAAACUUCUUUUCUGGGAAGAAUAAUGACGGUACCAGAGAAUAAGCCCCGGAUAACUACGCGCCAGCAGCCGC